GAAGAAUCUUAACAACAGCACUUUGUUACUUCAGCCUCUCACUAGAGGAUGAAAAUCGUUCUGCAUAAAGGCCUGGGCUUUAUGAAAAAUAUAUUCACACCUCCCGUGUCCGAGCUGGGAUACCAAAGAAGUUCCUGGUUGAGUACUACUUAUGAAUGAAGGAUUCAGGGGAUGCACAGGACACAGAGGAAUCUGGGGGAUAUUAUGGUUCUGGGAAUGUGGAAUGUAACGUCUCAUCUUCAGCCCAUCUGUGCUACUGAUCAUCUCAUUCCAGAAGCCAUGCCUUCUCUCAGGAGCAGACAGCACAAGACUUUCCUGCCAGAGGCACAGUCCCCAGUGGGAGUAGCAUCCACAUAAGACAGGAUGCAGAGAUGUCUUCAAGCAGCUUCAAACAAAACUUCAAGAAAGAAAGUGCAAGUGAAAAAGGAAAUUCAUCCUUCCAGUCACUUAACACAGCACUGUCACGGACACCUUGUGCCUCCUUAAAAUUCGUAUACUGAAGUUCUAAGCCCCAGUACCCCAGAAUGUGACCUUCUUUGGAAAUAGGGUCAUUGCAGAUAUGAUUAGUUAAGAGGAGAUCAUACUGGAGUGGGCUUUAAUCCAAUAUGACUGGUGUCCUUAUGUAAAGGGGAAAUUUGGACACAGACACACACAAGGAGAACACCAUGUGAACUGAAGUCAAAGAUUUGGGUGAUGCUUCUACAAGCCAAGAAAUGCCAAAGAUGACCAGCAAAGCACCGGCAGCUGGUGGAGGAGCCUGGACCAGAUUCUUCCUCACAGCCCUCAAAAGGAACCAAUCUUGCCAAAGCUUUGACUUAGACUUCUAGCCCCCUGUGAUGGUUAAUGUUAAGUGGCAGCUUGACUGGGUUAAGGGAUGCCCAGAUAGCUGGUAAGACAGUAUGUCUGUGUGCAUCUCUCAGAGUGUUUCUGGACAAGAUCAGCAUUUGAAUCCUUAGAGUAAAGAAGAUCUGCCCUCACCCACGUGCAUCACCCUAUCUCUGGAGAGCGCGAACAAACAGGAGGAAGGGCACAUAUGCUCCUUCUGUUCCAGCUGGCACAUCCAUCUUCUCCUGCCCCCUGACUUCAGAGCUCCUGGUUCUCGGGCCUCAGGAUUCCAGCACUUACAUGAGAGCGUGCUUCCCCCUCCCUACUCCACCCCUAGGUUCUCCGCCCUUUGGCCUCUGACUGAAUUCCACCACCAGCUUUUCAGGGUCUCCAGCUUGCAGACGGCAGAUCGUGGGACUUCUUGGCCUCCAUAAUUAUGUAAGCCAAUUCCCAUAAUAAAUCUCCUAUCUAUCUAUCUAUCUAUCCAUCUAUCAAUCAUCUAUCUAGUCUAUCUAUCUAUCUAUCUCUAUCCUAUUGAUUCUGUGUCUCUGAGGAACCCUAAUACACCUCCAGAACUGUGAGAUGAUACAUUUCUGUGGUUUAAGCCACUCAGAAGGUGGUACUUUGUUUCACCAGGCCUAGCAAACUAAUACAAGUGCAUGGAAGGUGACUACUCAUGACUGCAACUUAGAGAACAAGGGUUAUAAUAAAAAUAAAAGUGUUAUACAAAGGUGGCAAGAUAAAUGACAAUAAAUGAAAAUAUUAACAUGUGAAUUAAAAAGUAAAGAUAUUUUUCCUAGCAUUCUCCCAGAAAGUAGAGACGCGUCUCUC
rnacentral:lncRNA from 1 species